rnacentral:lncRNA from 1 species
AAUUCCAAGUCAGUGUUUAAGGACCCUGGGUGUUCCAGGCAGGGAGGUGGAAGCGGAGGUUGAAGUAAAACUGGAAUUGGAUUUGGCAGAAAUGACUGACUGCAUCAUGGAAUUAUCUACAGCUAUGUGACUUUGGGGACUUGCUUCCUUUCUCUGGGCCUCAGUUUCUCCUUCGACAAACCAGGAAUAAUUCCUAAGUUUCUUUCCAGAAAAGAAAGAAAGAAGAAUGGUGCUUUUGAAAAGUCCAGAAGUUUCAGCAUAUCAGUAGGUAUAGAAUCUGCAUUUCAACUUUUAAUAACAAGGUGAUUUUUAAAAGAAGAAAAUUCAGUAUUGUAACAGUUUCUUUAGCAGUAUUAUCAUAAAUAAGUUCAAGAGACUGGCCACCUAGCAUAAACACAGCAAAAUCUUGGCAUCGUCCAUCAGUUUAAAUGUCUGCUAGACCAAGAAGGUUGAACAACUCCAAGCCUGACGUAUUCGGAGACCCACUUGACUGAACCGCGUAUAUCUGUUAUGAACAUCUUCCUCCACACAAGCAGAGAAUCAAUCUCACACAGUCUCUGCUUUAGCAUGACUGCCUACUAUUUUUACAUCAGGUUAUUACUUGUGUGUUUCUUCAUAGCACCCCUCUGUGGUAGGUUUUAUUUCUGUUUUCAGAAAAAAUCAGAAUAUAGCAAAUUUAAUAACUUUCCCAAACUCACAGGAGAGCCAAAGCAGAGAAAGAUUCAAUGAACAGUGUCAGAACAGUGUCAG